CUCUUGAGCGUUUGUUCAGCAGAAGAGAAAAAAGAAGACAAGAAAGAAGAGAAAAAAGAAGAGACAAUCAUACAACCCUUGGACCCUUGGCUUUGGAGUGGUCCUAAAUACCCAAUGUGUGAUAUAAGGUGCACAAGUCAAUUUCAGGACCCCUAUUGUUCCAUCAUGUGAUAAAGAGAAAACCUACUUGUGUGACACUUUUGCAACCAAACAUAAUCCUUCUGCUGUGAUGACAUGGGUUCAUUGAAAAGCAUAAGGCAAAAUGGUUAGCAAACAAAAUUAAUAUAAGUAAUGGGAGAGAUAUUUUGA